UACGGAGGGGGCUAGCGUUGUUCGGAAUUAUUGGGCGUAAAGCGCACGUAGGCGGCUUUGCAAGUUAGAGGUGAAAGCCCAGGGCUUAACCCUGGAAUUGCCUUUAAAACUGCAUCGCUAGAAUUGUGGAGAGGUAAGUGGAAUUCCGAGUGUAGAGGUGAAAUUCGUAGAUAUUCGGAAGAACACCGGUGGCGAAGGCGGCGACCUGGUCCGAUACUGACGCUGAGGCGCGAAAGCGUGGGGAGCAAACAGG
rnacentral:rRNA from 1 species